UGAAAGCUGAGCAGAAUUACGUAAGUCACUCCAGGCAGAAGACUGAAGAGCCAGGGCCUGGUUGACCUGUGCCCUGUGAACCUGAAUGACAAGGUGCAGCCUCGCCAGCAAGCACAUGAGCUGCCCCUGGAGCAGAUAAUUUUCCCCAGCUAGAGUGCCAGAUUCCAAGCAAGAGAAACACUCGAUGUCCAUUACUGGCUUUGAAGAUGAAGGGGACCAGAGACCUCAUGGUACAACCGCAAGGAACUGAAUUCUGCUCACAACCAGAUUGAACUUGGAAGUGGAUUUUUCCCUUGUCCCUUCAGAUACCUUGACUUUGGCCAUGCGAGUCCUUACACAGAAGACCUAGUCAUGUCACGCCGGACUACUGACCCACAGAAACUGUGAGAUAAUAAAUGUGUGUUGUUUGAA